rnacentral:rRNA from 1 species
AUUGAACGCUGGCGGCAGGCCUAACACAUGCAAGUCGAGCGGAUGAAGGGAGCUUGCUCCUGGAUUCAGCGGCGGACGGGUGAGUAAUGCCUAGGAAUCUGCCUGGUAGUGGGGGAUAACGUCCGGAAACGGGCGCUAAUACCGCAUACGUCCUGAGGGAGAAAGUGGGGGAUCUUCGGACCUCACGCUAUCAGAUGAGCCUAGGUCGGAUUAGCUAGCUGGUGGGGUAAAGGCCUACCAAGGCGAGGAUCCGUAACUGGUCGGAGAGGAUGAUCAGUCACACUGGAACUGAAACACGGUCCAGACUCCUACGGGAGGCAGCAGUGGGGAAUAUUGGACAAUGGGCGAAAGCCUGAUCCAGCCAUGCCGCGUGUGUGAAGAGGGUCUUCGGAUUGUAAAGCACUUUAAGUUGGUAGAAAGGGCAGUAAGUUAAUACCUUGCUUUUUUGACGUUACCAACAGAAUAAGCACCGGCUAACUUCGUG